rnacentral:rRNA from 1 species
ACUGGGAAUAGCCCAACUUGAAAAUCUCCCUUUGGAGAAUUGUAGUCUAUAGAAACGCCCUCUGUGGCGGCUAGAGCCCAAGUCCUCUGGAAAGGGGCGUCAGAGAGGGUGAGAACCCCGUCGGCUCUUAACUUACCUGCUUCACGAGGUGUUUUCCACGAGUCGGGUUGUUUGAGAAUGCAGCCCAAAAUGGGAGGUAAAUCCCUUCUAAGGCUAAAUAUUGGCGAGAGACCGAUAGCGAACAAGUACCGUGAGGGAAAGAUGAAAAGAACUUUGAAAAGAGAGUUAAACAGUGCUUGAAAUUGUUGAGAGGGAAGCGAUUGAAAGCUGCGGGUGCGCCUAGGCUUAUGCGUCUCUCACGAGCCGUUGUAUGUGCUAGGUGCUGGUCAGCGUGGGUUUGCUAGGCGGGAUAACA